UUGGGCCCCGGUGGGGGGGCGAGAAGAAGGCGGAGGGCUGGCGCUGGUUUUCUUUGUCAGCCGGGCGUUCCUUCAACUUUUCCGGAUCGCAAACCUGUAUUUUCACCCUUUAAUGUGAAUUUAGGAAGACAGUUGACGUCUCCGUCCCCCCUCCCCGCACACACCCAGGUCCGCGCUGCUCAGCAGCCAAAGCCCAGCGCGGUGUGACCACACGGCUGAAGGUGAAGCAGUGCCUGAAGUUUGGGAAGCGUCGCCAGCCUUCCCACACCAGGCAGGAUAUCGGGAGCACAUUGAUUCGGAUAGAAUACAGAUGGAAGUGGUGCCCAACUUACCCUGAAGUAGUAACUCCUGACGAUUUCUGGGUUAGGAGCAGGUUUUGUUUCUGAACGUAGGUUAGGAAUGUAUGCCUCCUUUUUUUAGAUCACCAGAAAUUAGAAAUGUCUUUUUAAAAAUGGUUACACGGCCACUUUGUCUGUAAAGGAGGAAGCCCGUUUUAGUGCCAGCUUUUUAGUGCUCAGCUAUUGUGGCUUUCUGGUGUGCUCUGGGAGAUCUGUGAAUGCCCCACAAAGUUGUGGAAUGGCGUGUACAGGAUCGUCAUUUCAUUCUGUGAGGUUCUCACUGAACUGUUGUAGUGGAAGGGGCGCUGGGAAGUGGAGGAAAGCAGUUUCUUCGGUUUGGGUGCGUUCAUUUAGUAAUAGUAUGGUUAUAUUUCGUGAUAACUAGUAAAAACAGAAUUUACUGAGGCGUAACAAGGCCCGGUUGUGGGAAUCCCUUGCAGCCCUUGACCGUAUGUGCUUUUUUAUCCUUUCAUUGUGAAAAUGAUUCAGGGCCUUGAGCUUGCCUCCAUAUUUUACUGCCAGCUCUUACCUAGCUAUGACAAACCGUGAGGGAAACAAGACGUACAGGAUGCGUGCAUUAUUAUAUUAGCUUCUUUGUGAUACAAAGUUAGGGUUUAUUUAUUACGCCACUCCUGCUGUAAUAUAAUGUCUGGCAUAAAACGUUAUUGUUGUUAUUACUGUAUUAACUGAAAUUUGGAGAAGGAAGGUAGAGUUUUAAGUAACUUUAAAACUUUGCCACUUUUUUGUAUCCUUCAAAGCAACACCAGUCAAGCCAUAGUAGGGUUUUUAAUUGAUUGCUUUCCGUUUUCACUGUUUGAAAACCAUCUCUCGGUGUCUUUUUGAACAUUAAUUUGGGAUUAUUGUAUGUUUUAGAUCUGCAUUUAAAUUCUUACUCUUUUUUACAGUGGACCUAUCCAUGUUGUCUUGCCCCUCACCCCAUAGGCACGCUUACAUGUGCACACGCACACAUACUUACAUGUGCACACGCACACAUACUUACCCUGCUGUUGGAAUGAGCUCAUUUGUGUUAGCACAGCUUUAGGAUGCAGUGGAGAAAAGGUUCAUUUAGGGUAUUACCAUUUUAUAAAAGCGUGAAUUUUUUUCUCUCAUAUUAUGAAUGAAGGAAAAGGUGGCCCUUUGAGAAUUUAAAAAAUUUUCACAGAAUGACACAAACCCAACACUGUAAAAACAUCAAAACUUUGGGAAAUGUUUAGAAAAAUUCUAAAUUUUAAGUUUUUUUCUUUAGCUUUGGAAAGUAGUAUGGCGUUCCUUAUAAGAAAGCAAAGUCUAGCAGUAACUCUGAUGGUUCUAAACUUUUUAGUGAAUUCUUUGAAAUUAGAUUUGUCUUUUGAAGGGAAUGGAAUCUCCAAUUGCUUUAGAAACAUGUAAAUGGAAACUAAUAUGUGAAAUGGAAACCCAAGGGAAGGUUUUUCAAUUGUGUGUCUCUACACGGUGUUAGGAUUCAUGCAGUAAAGACCCUGUAGUUAGCUGGGUAUUGAAGACCCGGAAAGUGAAACUGAUACGUAACGUGAUUUCUUAUAAGGAAUUAGAAAUGUAAAUUAGGUUUUUAAUGGCCGAAAUUAUGUGAAAUGAGAAAUAAUUCACCAAAGAAAUGAAAAUUAAUAUUUUUUUUGAAAUGUAAGGAAAAUAAUUUAAAAUUGUCAGUGAUAUUUAGGUGAUCGCUAAUUUAGUGGGUUGUGUUAAGCCAGCGAAGAAGAUGCCUCAUGACACUGUUAUUUUUUAAAGAGGUCCUUGUGUAUUUGUUUUUGGUUUAAAAAAAAAAAAAAAAGUAGCUGUUCACUGUUAGCUAUCCUUUUCUUCAGUUUGAAUGUUUAAUAAUUAGGUAAAUAAAUUGGGCAUUGUUUUAUAGUAUUAGAUAUUUUUAAUGUUUUGUUCCAUUUUAAAAGUGUAGGUUGUAUAGUUAUGGGUUUUAUAUAAACGAUGAUUACUUUAAAAUUAUGUGUAAAAUCAAGAAUUUUGAACUGAUGCUAUUAAUCUUAAUGGCAGAGUUUGAAAAGUAGGUAUAUGGAGGGAUUUCCUGUUGUUCAAACAUCAAGUGAAACAGUAAAAUUUACAUUCGUCUGAAAGCUCUCCCAACAGUUAAGACUAAUUAUUUGGCUAUUUGCAGUACUCAUAACCUUUACUAGAGGCACAGAUCUUAAACCAUUGGCAAAAAACGCUCCCGCCACAGAGUAAGCACAAGGGGAUUUUAGUAGAGUUAAUUAUAUUCCUGUUAAUGUUAGGAAAACUUUGUUGAAGCUUUAUUAUUAUUAUUAUUUUUACUUCUUACAGUAUAAACUUAUAUACUAAUUUGGGAAGCAAAGGGAAGCAUCCUGCCAUAUUUCUUACCAAGUCAACAAAGUCAAUGUUAGGGAUGGUGUGGGUGUGGAGUGCAGAAGCAGCAGGUGGUGGGGCUAGGGCUUCUGAGGAAGUUUCCUUGGCCCUUUUUGAAUAAACUCUUUAUACCCUGAACUACUUUCUUUUCAGAGGGCAAUUACUAUUAUUAGAAAGCCACACUGAGCAUUAUUGUAGAAAAGUUAGGCAGAACCAGUGAUGUCAUACAAGCAGUCAGCAAAAAUAGCUAUGCAGCAGGUGAAUAUUGCCAUUCUGUACUGUAAGAUCCCUCCCCCAAUGCAGUUUCUCAUUUCCUGAGCUUUGGAUGUGACAUAGCCACAGAAGCUAUGUGCUGCAUUACAGCGCACAGGUUAUGGUCAGGUGCUAGCACUAUUACUAUUUAUGCUUUUCCAGAUAACGCUAAUCCGUACGUUUUAUGAUCGUAAUUCUUAAUUUUUUUUUAAUUUUUCAAGAAGUUGGAUAAAUGGAAAUUUUCAUUAAUUCUUGGUCUCUGGCACUUACCAGGUACUGAAAUGUUUUAACUUAAUUGAAAAACAGGUCCAGGAACGUCAGCCUCUUCUAUCUCAGUAGGUUGUUAUUUAACCUGACCCUACUGUAUUUUGUUGUGCUGUGGGUCUUAUUCGUGGGGAUUGCGAGUAUUUGCAAAUACGAUGUUUUAAUUUAAUUAACAAUUUUAUAUUAAAUAUAUUGGUUAUUAAUCUGUAAAACUUAUAAACAUGGCAUUCCAUUUAAAUUUAAAAGUAAUACAAAAGUUUUAUUUUCCUAUUCUGAAAAUUGUGAGUCAGUAGUUUGCCUGUUAUCUCAGUUCAUUCCAUGAUGCCAGAUUUGUAGUCAGUUUGCAGGGGUGACAAGGCAAACUGCCCUAAGCCCCCCUGCCCCUUUAUUUUUCUUUGGAAAACUUUAUGUACCUUAUUACUGAGGCCACAAUCAUUUCUUCUGGCUAAAUAGUGGUUGUCCAGCCCUUUAUCCCUAAGCCACUUAUGGUUAUGACGAAGGAACUUCCAUGAUACCUUACUGCCUUCCAAAAUGAAAAUGGUCAGUUCUUAAAAGAACAUCAGGUGCUCUCUCGGCACUCUCGCCUAGGGUGUAUGUGAGACCGUGUUGUGAUACCUCGUUAUGUGAUACAGUCUUUAAUCUGUGUGAUGUCGGGCUGAGCAUAAUUUUUGGCUGCCAUGAAAUAAACUUAAUCAAUUUCUGUGCUCGUGUUUCUCUUUAAGUUUUUCCUGUAUUGUUUUGGCCAUCUUUAUCUUUUAAUUUCAACAAGCUGAUUAGUCCCUUUCUCCUCUCUUUUAUAAUUUUCUUUAUUGUGUUUGUGCUGCAGCGGCUAUUUUCAGAACUUCUUGACAGCAUGAAUUGCAGAAGUUAUGGAGUGAAAUGGGGAUGGUUUCUUUCUUUCUUUCUUUCUUUUUUUGUCGCGGCCUGCAUAUAAAUGUAUGCUGGUGGUUAGUGUGAAAAAUAUAGUAGAAAGACCAGUCUUGAAUUUGGAAUUGGAGGUGUCAGUAUUUAUUUUCAGAAUUUGAAGGACUUAAGAGCACGAGUUAAGCAGGAAUGACACAGCUAUUUUUGCACUUUCUUUGCAAUUUAGAAAAAGCCUCAUGUAAAAGAUAGGAAAGUUGUCUUACUUUGCUUUUGCUGAUAACUUUAUGAUGAUAGCAACUAUGUAUGAUGCACAAAUGCUGAAAUUGUUCUAAGAAGUCUUAUGCUUUUCAUACUCUUACAUAAUUUUUAGAUCUUUAAUUUGGGAUAUGCUGCUCAAAGAGUAUGCAAGUACUAAAUAUAUACUGGUAUGGACAAUCAACUCUGUGGAAGAAGGGUUCCCUGUAGUACACGGGGGUCUACAAAGACUUGGAGGAAGUAGUACAUGAAUUAGACCUUGAAGGAGUUGGUGAGUUUUAACUAGGUAGAUUGAGAAGACAGAGAGUGUGUGUUCUGGGGGAGCAAUAGGAAUAAAAUUAUAGUACAGUGUUUUCCCCAUGGAGUGUGACUAGAGCAGAGGCUUAGUGUAGGGGUUGGGGCCAAACUGUGGUGGCUCUUGAAUGCCAUGCUAAUGAGCUUUGGCUUUAUCCUAUAGUCCAGGGGUUAUAGACUGUUUACAGGGCCAGGCAGGGAACUUAAACAAGUUAGUUGCAGGCUGCUUGUAAGAUCAUAAAGACAGCUGACACCUAGGGCCUUGGGUUAGAGAGAAAAAUGAACAGUCUAGAGAGUCCUAAGAGACUAUUGCUUUGUGAGAAUGUGGUCUUUUGUUUCUAGAUACUCUGAAUUUUCAACAGAGGCUGGAAACUUGAAUUUUUGUAUGAAAUCUCUCAACUUCCAACUAAUUAAAAUUUAAAGCACUUUUUGGGCCUAUAGCUGUGGGCCAGGUUUGAUCUGUUGGGCCACCAGUGGGCUACAGGUCGUCAACCUCUUCUUUAUGCCCUGGUUAUUUUACUUUAUUUUUUUAAAUUAAGAUUUUAAAAGUAAAUAUUUGCAAACUUUCCGAGGAACCUAAGUAAAUUAUUUUGUAUUCUGUGUAGCAUUUUAUACAGUUGAAUGUAUAUAGUCAAAUACUUGGUGGUUUGAUGAUGGCUGUCUAGGAGAUAAACCAAAACCAUUGCUAUCAAGUUAAUUCUGACUCAUAGCAACCCUAUGGGACAGAGUAGAACUGCCCCAUAGGGUUUCCAAGGCUGUAGUCUUUACAGAAGCAGAAUGCCACAUCUUUUCCCCACAUUGUAGCUCUAGUAAUAAUAUGAAGAAUGGAGUUACCUGGAGGCAGAGAUAAAUAGGCUGUUAUAGUAGUCAAGGUGUGAGGUGAUCACGGCAGAGGGUAGAUUGUUGGGAGUGAGGAUGGAAAGGAAGAGAGAUUCAGUCACUGCAGAGGAGGAAUUUUGAAGUUCCUCGCAUAGAUAUCUGGAAGAUAGAAAUGUUUGGGAGCACUUGGACAUGUAGGGUUGGAGCUCAGGAGCUAGAUUGGGGUAGGUGAUUAAAGAUGUGGGUAACCCGAAAUUGUUGUGAAUGGGGAGAGACCGGGGGAGAUAGUGAAAGGAUUAGGAUGCUUAUUACUCUUACCAUUACGAGAUGAGGGGGAAAAAAGAAUAUCCAGAAAAAUGAGAAAAGAAAUUAGAAUAUAUGCUUGGCAGAAAUGGGCAUGUAUGUAUGUAUGUAUAAAGAUGCUUAUGGAAACAGCAUUACUCAGAGAGAAAAGGUGACAACAGCAAAACGUCCCUCAGUGGACUAGUGUGCAGUUCCCAUGGAGACAGAGCGGUAGGUAGGCCCCUGAAUGCUGAAGUGGGAGAAUGUCGGUGAUAACUCAUUGGGAAGAAGGUUUCCCAAAAGUUGUGCAGCAGGAAGUUAGCAUUAACUGUUUUGUAAAAAGCACAAAAACCCCAGCUACUUACAUGUUUUUGGCAUAGAAACAAUUCGGGAGGGUACGUGAUACCAACACUUCUGGGAAGACUGUCCUUCUGUGUGUCUGUCUAUGCGUCCAGUAAUUGAAAACUCUAAUCUCACAACUCUGAUUUUACAAACGAGAUUCUGGAGCCAAGACUACCUGGGUUCAAACCCAGGCUUCUCUUCUUAAUAAUUUGUUUACCUCAGGCAACUUAUAUACCUUUUUUUGUGCCUUGGUUGCCUCAUCUGGAAAGUGGACAUAGUAGUAUGCCUAAUUUAGAGUUGUCGUGAGGAUUAAAUGAGUUUAUAUGUGUGUAGAACUUAGAACAGUGUCUGGCACGAGCUAAGUGCUAUUGUCAGUAUUGACUACUAUUGUUAUCAUCGUCUUGCCACUCUCAUCAAUUAUUAUCAAUCAAGUGGUUGCCUGAGCUUGUGGAGCUCGUUAGUGACAGACAUGUGACGAUGAGGUGCCAAACUCUCUCUAAAAAUGCCGUGACAUAAAAUAAUAUAGUGAUUAUUGGGGGGAAAAUAAAGAUUUCCUUUCCAUACUGAUGCCCCUGAUAAGAGAAAAAGAACAAUAUAAAAACGCUAGGUCAGUAGAAAUCUGUAUAGAAUGGUUUUCGUUAUGAGUAACACACGAAGAACAACCAAAGCAAUUCCUUAGACGAUGUAUAUGUAGUGAUGUUAUUACAAAAUCAUUUUUAAAAAUUUCAUUACCCAAACCUAUAAAUGUUAUAGUGGGUCUUUUUAUGUUACAACUCUGCUGACCACGGUUGUAUUAGUAGGUCUCCCUAAAUGAGACCGAUUAUUAGGUGGUUUUAAAAUGAUUUCUUAUGUUUUUUUAACUGGGUAACUUUUAAAAUUUUUUUAUUGUACUUUAGAUGAAGGUUUACAGAGCAACCUAGUUUCUUAUGAUGCAGUUAGUACACACAUUGUUCUAUGACAUUGGCUAACAACCCCAUGACAGAUCAGCACUCUCCCUUCUCAACCCUGGGUUCCCUAUUACCAGCUUUCCUAUUCCCCCCUGCCUUUCAGUCCCUGCCCGAGGGCUGGUGCACCCCUUAAGGCUUGUUUUGUUCAAUCUUUGGCUGAAGGGUGAACCUCAGGAGUAACUUCAUUACUUAGCUGAAAGGGUGUCUGGGAGUCAUACUCUCGGGGUUUCUUCAGUCUCUGUCAGGCCACCAAGCCUGGUCUUUCUUUUUGAGUUAGAAUUUUGUUCUGCAUUUUUCUCCAGCUCUGUCCUGGACUUUCUAUUGUGAUUCCUUUCAGAGCAGUUAGCAGUGGUAGCCGGGCCCUGUCUUGUUGUACUGGACUCAGUCUGGUGGAGGCCGUGGUAGACGUGGUCCAUUAGUCCUUUGGACUAAUCUUUCCCUUGUAUCUUUAGUUGUCUUCAUUCUUCCUUACUCCGGAAGGGGUGAGAACAGUGGAGUAUCCUAGGUGGCUGCUCACAGGCUUUUAAGACCCCAGACACUACUCAACCAAGGUAGAGUGUAGAGCAUAUUCUUUAUAAACUACGUUAUGCCAGUUGAGCUAGAUAUUCCCCGAGAUCAUGGUCCCCACAGCCCUCAGCCCUUUACAGGUAACUUUUAGUCUUUACACCUCACUGUAACCAUUUGCGUGAGAAGCAACAUAGUUGAUGGUUUAUGGUAAAGUCUGUGUGGUUUUGUUCUUAACUCCUUCUUUUAGUGGAGGCUAGCAAAAACACUUCCUUAGUUUCCUGAUUGUUGGGAUUCUGAUAGCAUGCACUAUAUGUUGGGAGUAAGCACCCAAUUGAUUAUAAAAUAACAGAAUGAAAUAUAACCAUAUUCUUUACCUUAAAGCUCUUACUAGUGGAUCUGUCCUGCCAGAGUUGAAGCAUUUGAUUAUUGUGACCAAGUUUUUCGUCAUAUCAGAUUUAUGUGUGCGUAGUUUUUUUUUUUUUUAGAGUUAUAGAAUAUUAAAAGUAGACUUAAAUUCUAUUAUAUAUAUUCGGAAUUCUGUUUUUGUAUAACUCUACACGUAUUAAAUAUAUUAUAUAGAAGUAGAGUUCGGAAUUCAAAGGAUAUUUACUACAAACACUUAUUUUACAGAUAGGCAAGAGAGAUUAUAGCAUGCUAGAGGUCAAAUAUCAAAGUGUUACCCGUAUAGUAAAUAAAGAGGGAAUAGUAGACUAUUGUAUUAAUGACUCCCACGAACCAUGGCUGCUGGUAUUCAUGCAGUUGCAUAGUUGCCUCCCUUGAUAUCUUGGCUAGCCCUGUGACUUAGGCAGUAGAAUGCAGCAGAAAUGACAUUGUCCAAGUUUUGGACCUAAGUAUUGAGAAGGCCUGGAACCCCUGGUGGCAUAGUGGUUAAGAGCUGUGGCUCUGCUAACCCAAAUGAUGGCGGUUGGAAUCCACCAGGCACUCCUUGGAAACCCUGUGGGGCAGUUCUGCUCUGUCCUAUGGGAUCGCUAUGAGUCGGGAUCGACUCAAUGGCAGUGGGUUUGGUUUUUUUUGGUUUGACAGCUUCUACUUUUUCAUUCUUGGGAGGCCUGAGUUGCCAUGCUGGAAGUUCCCUUACCUGCUGGAGAGACCAUGUGGAGAGGGAGGGACCCUGAGACUACAUUGAGAGAGAGAUCCAGCCCUCCCAUUGUCCGCUGAGCACAGCUCCUACUCAGCUUAUCUGUUGAAUGUAGCCACAAACGUGACCCACCAGCUGAACCAGCACGGAUUACAGAAUCAUGAAUAAAUACGAUGGCGGUGGUUUUAAUCUGUUAGGUUUUUGUGAUGGUUUAUUAUAUAACAGAAACAAAAACCUUGGUGGCGUAGUGGUUAAGAGUUUGGCUGCUAACCAGGCACUGGUUGGAAUCCCUAUGGGGCAGUUCUACUCUGUCCUAUAGGGUCACUAUGUGUUGGAAUCGACGGCAGUGGGCUUUCCAAGGACAAAAAAAAAUUGAGACAGAUGACAAAAAUCACUUUUGUUUUAUAACUUCUUUUAUUGAGAUACCUAAAUGAGGCUGCCCUCCGACCCUCCACCCUCAUUUCCUUAAGGUAUUUGGCGUAGAUACCAAUUUUUAUUAUUGAAGCCUUUAAAUAGUGUUUAAAAAUGUAGUUACAAUGUAUUUAGAUAAUAUGUAAUAAAAGAAUUAUGAACACCAACCCUAAAAAACCUGUCAUUUUAUUCUUUUGACUUACACAGACAUUUCAUGUAUAUUUGGAACACUGUGCACUCUAUGUCAGAAGAGAUGGGUUCUAUCAUGGAUUGAAUUAUGUCACCCCAAAAAUAAAUGAAGGGUGCACACAACAUGAGUAGUGAAAGAACAAGACAGGAGGCGAACCGUGCUCAAACAGCACAUGCUGGAGAGAGAGACUGAAAUGGUGGGAGGCUACAGCAGGGGACGCCUACGUAUCGUUUCAUCAGUGUGGAUUCAGCGUAGUGCUUGAAGCGCGGCAAAUUCACGUUUUGUUUUUUGGAACUUUUUUUUUCUGGAUAUUUUCCAUCUGUGGUUGGUUGAAAGAGUCCAAGAGUGACUUCUGAGGAAGCAGUAGAAGUAUUACUUUUGGAUAAAGAAGCAAGUAAUAGUACCCCUGUGCUUUGUAGUCUUUGUUUAUGUGCAGUUACUUCAGUUUUAGUAAUCUUUUCAUUGAAAAUGUAUUGUUUUGCUAACUUUUGGACUUGACUUUUUAUGCUCUUUAAAAAAAAUCCUGAAAUUCAUUCCAUAUUUAAGAAGUUUGUAAUAAAUCUGAGUUCCUACUUUGUACAGAAUAUUCUUAAAACUAGAAAUGAAAGUGAUGUCAAGAAAUACCCAGCUCCUUUUUAUGUAUAUAUCAGAAUAUCUAGAAUAUGCUAUGCUAACAAAUAAACCCAAUUCUUAGUGGCUUCAUUCGACCAAGAUUUGUUUCAUAUUCAUGCUACAAGUUCAUCAUGGUCUGGCUUGGGAGCUGUGCUCUGCAUCUUCUGCGCCCAGGCUGAGGGAGGCUCCAUUUCUGUCCUGCCACAAUUGUGAAGAUAGGAAAAAGAAGGGAACAUGGUAGAUUGUGCUCUGGCUCUUAAAGACACUGUCCCAAAGUGGUACAUUCACCUCUGUUUACAUUUCAUUGGCUAAGGAAAGUCACAUGGCAGCGCCUCACUUCAAGGGUGCAGAGAAGUGAAAUCCUGUCAUGUUUCUGGAAGGAGAAUUAGAAAUGUUUGGUGAAUAGCAUUGAUGAAUACCACAGAAGGUAACCCUAUUUUGGUCCAGAAAUUCAUAUUUGACUUUGGAAUAUGCUUUACUACCUAUAAUGUAAUAUGACUGCCUGGUAGAUCAUUAUACUAGAAUGUAUUAAUUAAAGGGAUGUACUUAAUAAUACUAUUAAAAAUCAACAUUUUCUGGAGGUAGAAGUAAUGUCGGAAGCAUAGGGCUUUGGGGUCUUGAUUCUUUACUUCACAUGGAAGGAGAGAAGGAAUCAAAUUUUAAAAUUGCUGUGUAAUAUUAAUGAGAUCAUAGGUGCCUUACAAUCUUUUUUUUUUAGUAUGUUCUUAAAACAUGUUUUAUUCUUAGUCAGAUUUACUUUGCUUAUUUGUUUUCUUGUAGCCACCUAAAGAAGACACUAGGCAAAAAUCAAAUCCUUAGUAAGCAUCCAUUUAUAUAUAUUGUACACUGGAGAAAUCAAAAUAAGAUCUGUACUCUUCAUUUUCUCAUAAUCCAGUGCAAAGUAUGCAAAAUGACAAAUUCUCCAAUAGAGAUGGCACAAGGGGUUGGGGAGGUUUAGAGAGGGAAGAACUUAAGGCAGUGGAAUUGAAAGAAAACACCUUAGUUGAAUCUUGAAGAAUGAAUGAAAAAAAAAAAAAAACUUUACUGAAGAGAAUGGAAGGAGUGAAGAACUGGCCAUUAUGUGUUG